CUCCAUCAUCUGCAGAGAAACCACUAAAUGUGGCGAAAAUGCGAGAGAUAAGUGGCAACGACAUUUUUGCUGAUGGUAAGGUAGAAUCUCGGGACUACCUGGGUGGCGUGCGCAAACCGCCUGGUGGUGAGACCAGCAUAUCAUUGGUUUGAUAAGAUACGGCCUGGACCAACUAUUUCACGUGAUAGUCUUGUGUCUGGAUUUUCUUCUGGUUCUCACUGUGAACAUAUUCUGGUAUUACUCUACUUUCAUUAAAUUCGUCGAGGGAUACGGCAAACUUCAUUCCAGUAUUUAACAUGAUUGGCUAGAGAUGUGACCGAUGUGCUAAUUGGUGUUAUGUGUUCAUACUUGCGUUUGGUUUAGUGAUUGUCCUAAUUUUCUGCAAGUUCAUCUACUGCAAUGAAUGGUUGUGUUUGUCCCUUCCAUCUUCUUACUCCCUGUGUAGUGUUAAAUCUUGAUUUCAAUACAUUUCAUUGGGAUACAGUGAUUAUCGAUUUCAUUCUGUUUUCAUCCUGUGCUGCUAAGUGAUUUAUGGCAAUUUUUGUAGUUACAUAUAGGAUGUGGAACAUUCUCUUGUUAAAAUCCACGUCAAGGGAAAUUGAGUAUGUACUCCCUUUCAUUUAGCAGCCAUUCUCCACCUCGAGAUCGCUGGGCCAACCACCUAAGGUCUUAAUUCUAUAAGAUGUUAUCAAUGCUUGAUUGAUGCAUUCUGCUAAAAUUUGACAGCUACAGCAAACAAAUCAUUGCUGAAGUAUCAUUAGGAAUGGUUGUGGUCAAAAUUUACAUGGAUAAUGUGAUAUCAUAACCUUUUUCUUGGGGUGGGGUGAGCAGUGCCGGCAAUCUCCUUGGACAUAAGCAUAGGAGUUCUACAUUUACGGCGUACUGUCAUAACUUUCUGUUCAUAGAGAUUUAUCCGAAAAAGAUUGAACUGUUUGUUUAAAUCAUGACAAGGGAAUGCUGAAUUUCUGAGAAUGGAGUGAGGGCCAAGCAAUAAGAGAAAAUCCGAAACACUGGAGGGUUUACAAAUCCUUUUCGAUGAACUAAUAUCUUCAGUUCAUGCCCUCAAUAUCACAUUCAACUUCUGAAACGUGCUCUUACAUUUUUAUAUGGAUUUCCCAUUCUCCGUUCAUCUUACCUUCCUUUUAUAUAAUCUAGAUAUCUUACCCUUCCUUGACUGUUAUGUGCACUGUUGAAUCGCCAUUCAUGUAGUACAAUGUAAUAAUUAUUACUAAUUAAUAAAACUACAAUAUCCAUUAUUGGUUAAUUAAUAUAACAUAAUCAUUACAUAAGCAAAUUGUUAUCAUGAUAAAUACUAUCCAAUCACGCAGGGCGUUAAGCUAUUAUGCAUAAUAGCUAUUAGAGUUUCAGCAGUAAUAGAUAUUAUAACGUUAUACUUACUACUGCAAGCAGAUAUUGUAAUGCGACAAAGAGGAGUAAUGUAAUAAUCGUUGCCACAACCAAAGCGUCCUCUUGUGGCUUCUGAAUCUUUGCUUGUCAUGUAUAUAAGCUCACUUUAUCAUAAUACACUCAUCUACGAAUAUAGAAAGUACCACUGGAGAUAUUUAUUCAAUUGCUAGAAGCUAUAGUUCCUCUUGCAAUUUCAUAUUACUGGGUUGUCUCCACCUCUGGACAAUGGCCACACUAGUGAGCGGCCGGAUGAGCCGAUAACACCUGAGAAACCAUCUUCAUGGAUGGCCUGAGUUGCGGAUUGGUGGAUAAACAAGCAAUUGCGAGCUUGAAGAUGACUAGAAGUUCAUCCUCAGUGCUUGGCAUUGGAGUUGGUAGGCGUGGAUCCAGCAUAUCUUUCAGGACUGUCACAAUCUCCUUAUCCGAUUCAACAAAAAGGGAUGAGAUGGUUUCGCCUGGAUGUUUUCCAUGGAUCACCUGUAUUGCCACGACCCCGAAGCUGUACACGUCGCAUUUCUCAGUCACCCUCAUCAUGUAGGCAAGCUCUAUGCAUAAGAAGAAAAUGCAUCAUUACUAGCAGAUUAUUACUUUUUAAGCUCACCAUAGAGGACUAGUAGAUAUCCAUGGAGUUACCUGGUGCAAUAUAUCCAUAUGUCCCAGCAACAGCGCUCCAAUUUGACGUGUCCAGCUUGAGAAGCUUGGCUGUGCCGAAGUCAGAAACAUGGGCCUCAUACUCAGAAUCAAGCAAGAUGUUGUUGCUUGAUAUGUCUCGGUGAACAAUGGGAGGCACACAGUCAUGGUGCAUGUAGGACAGAGCAUGAGUUAUGCCUCUCACAAUAUUUGCCCUCCUAUCCCAACCCAACUCUUUUGCUUCUCCGUCAUCGCUCAGGGUUGCAGACAGGUUUCCUCUUUCCAGAUACUCAUACACCAAGAAAGAGUGUUGGGGAUGUGAGCAGAAGCCAAGGAGUCCCACGAUGUUACGGUGUCGUAUUUCUGUCAAUGCCCGUAUCUUAUUUUGAAACUCCUUCUGAUUCGUUUGCCCGCUAUCAGACAUCUGAUGAAGCUUCUUCACAGCCACCACAUCACCUGAUCUUAGCUUUGCUCUGUAGACCCUUCCAUAUCCUCCACAUCCAAUGCAGUAUCUCUCGUUAAAAUCCUCAGUCGCUGCAAUGAUUUCCUCGUGCAAUAUCCUUCCAUCGUAAGUAGAUAUAGAAAACAUUUUCUCUCUCUCCUGUGCUUGCUCCACUUGUCGGCGGUCCUUUCUUCUAUGCAAAAUGUAGUAUACUCCGACGAAAGAAAGCAGGAGAAAUGCUCCAAGUACGAGGAAGACAAUGAGAAACACUUUCUUAACAGUGUUGGAUUUUUUCUUCUGCGGCUCCGAUUGACUACAAGGCUGAAGUCCAUCAACAUUUCCACAUAAUCCAGCGUUGCCUUGUAAUGCUUCUGUUGGAGCAUCUUGGAACACCGUGGUGUUUGGAACCGGACCCUGAAACUCAUUGUAGGAUAUGUCAACCGUGGCCAAACCUGGCAUAUCCUCAAAAAUUGCAUAUAUUGGGCCCGAAAGAUUGUUGUGUGAGAGGUCAAGUUUCACUAGACUUUGCAGAUUGCUGAAUUGUGCAGGAAUCUCACCGAUCAAUGAAUUAUUGUUCAAGUCUAGCUCGGAUAAGUGAGUCAGCAUCCCGAUCUGGCUAGGAAUUUCUUCGCUUAAUCGGUUGUUGCUCAAAUCCAAGAGGACUAAGUCUGCCAACUGCCCGAUACUCUCUGGGAUAGUCAUGCUUAAUCUAUUCCUGGACAAAUCCAUCAUUUGAAGACCAGAUAGGGAUGCGAUCUUCGGACUUAUACUGCCAGAAAGUUGAUUCCUGCUCAAGUUCAACCUCACCAAAUAGGUCAAUUUCCCGAGUUCCUUUGGAAUCUCGCCAACUAAACCAUUGGAAGAAAGAUCGAGUCCUUGUAGUUCAGUUGCGUUUCCGAUCUCAGGAGGCAAGCUGCCAGUGAUGUUGUUCCCAGCAAUUCGUAGAGGCCCAUGUUUCGCCUGGAUGUUUUCCAUGGAUCACCUGUAUUGCCACGACCCCAAAUCUGUACACGUCGCAUUUCUCAGUCACCCUCAUCGUGUAGGCAAGCUCUACGCAUAAGAAGAAAAUGCAUCAUUACUAGCAGAUUAUUACUUUUUAAGCUCACCAUAGAGGACUAGUAGAUAUCCAUGGAGUUACCUGGUGCAACAUAUUCAUAUGUCCCAGCAACAGCACUCCAAUUUGACGUGUGCAGCUUGAGAAGCUGGCUGUGCCGAAGUCAGAAACAUGGGCCUCAUACUCAGAAUCAAGCAAGAUGUUGUUGCUGAUAUGUCUCGGUGAACAAUGGGAGGCACACAGUCAUGGUGCAUGUAGGACAGAGCAUGAGCUAUGCCUCUCACAAUAUUUGCCCUCCUAUCCCAACCCAACUCUUUUGCUUCUCCGUCAUCGCUCAGGGUUGCAGACAGGUUUCCUCUUUCCAGAUACUCAUACACCAAGAACGAGUGUUGGGGAUGUGAGCAGAAGCCACGGAGUCUCACGAUGUUACGAUGUCAUAUUUCUGUCAAUGCCCUUAUUUCAUUCUGAAACUCCUUCUGAUUUGUUUGCCCGCUAUCAGACAUCUGAUGAAGCUUCUUCACAGCCACCACAUCGCCUGAUCUUAGCUUUGCUCUGUAGACUCUUCCAUAUCCUCCACAUCCAAUGCAGUAUCUCUCGUUAAAAUCCUCAGUCGCCGCAAUGAUUUCCUCGUGCAAUAUCCUUCCAUCGUAAGUAGAUAUAGAAAACAUUUUCUCUCUCUCCUGUGCUUGCUCCACUUGUCGGUGGUCCUUUCUUCUAUGCAAAAUGUAGUAUACUCCGACGAAAGAAAGCAGGAGAAAUGCUCCAAGUACGAGGAAGACAAUGAGAAACACUUUCUUAACAGUGUUGGAUUUUUUCUUCUGCAGCUCCGAUUGACUACAAGGCUGAAGUCCAUCAACAUUUCCAAAUAAUCCAGCGUUGCCUNNNNNNNNNNNNNNNNNNNNNNNNNNNNNNNNNNNNNNNNNNNNNNNNNNNNNNNNNNNNNNNNNNNNNNNNNNNNNNNNNNNNNNNNNNNNNNNNNNNNNNNNNNNNNNNNNNNNNNNNNNNNNNNNNNNNNNNNNNNNNNNNNNNNNNNNNNNNNNNNNNNNNNNNNNNNNNNNNNNNNNNNNNNNNNNNNNNNNNNNNNNNNNNNNNNNNNNNNNNNNNNNNNNNNNNNNNNNNNNNNNNNNNNNNNNNNNNNNNNNNNNNNNNNNNNNNAACCGGUUGUUGCUCAGAUCCAAGUGGAAUAAGUCUGCCAACUGCCCGAUACUCUCAGGGAUAGACGAGUUUAAUCUAUUCCUGGACAAAUCCAGUCUUUGAAGACCAGAUAGUGAUGCGAUCUCUGGAUUUAUACUGCCAGAAAGUUGAUUCCUGCUCAAGUUCAACCUCACCAAAGAGGUCAAUUUCCUGAGUUCUUUUGGAAUCUCGCCUAUUAAACCGUUGGAAGAAAGAUCGAGUCCCUGUAGUUUAGUCACAUUUCCGAUCUCAGAAGGCAAGCUACCGGUGAUGUUGUUCCCAGCAAUUCGUAGAUCCCUCAAACGCCGACAACUGCCCCAGUUGACCGAGAUCUCUCCGUGGAACUUGUUGAAACUCAAAUCCAUAAAGUCCAAGUUCGGGUAGACACCAAAACUGUCGGAUAUGUUUCCAGUGAGUUGGUUCUCCUGGAGGCGUACCCUGAGUAAGCUCGUGCAAUUUCUCAAGCUUCUGGGAAUGAAACCUGUGAGGUUGUUGCCAGCCAUGGUGAGGUUUUGAAGUGAUCCACCUCGGCACAAGUUAUCUGGUAUGAAGCCAGUGAACUGGUUCGUAUCUAAUUGUAGCACCACCAAGUUCAUCAAAUUCCCUAGGAAUCCAGGAAUGGAACCGGAAAGUUGGUUCUCACGGAGGAAUAUAUAUUCCAGGUCAGUCAUGUUGCCCAGAGAAGAAGGAACAGGACCGUUGAGCUGAUUCAUACUCAGAUCUAAAUUGAUCAUAGCUCGGAGGUUUCCCAACUCAUCAGGAAUGUUAUCAGAAAGCAUGUUGCCAUAUAGAUAAAGAAGGGUAAGCUCUGUCAAAUUGCCUAAUGUUGAGGGAAUUGAACCGGUAAGAUUAUUGUAGUGUAGGGCGAGUCGACGAAGAAGUUUCAAGUUUCCCAGCUCCGGUGGGAUAGAACCAAUUAAUUCAUUAUCAUAUACAUGGAGUUGGGUUAGUUUCGUCAAUUUCCCGAAUGUGGGAGGAAUUGGCCCUGUUAGGAAGUUGGUAUCCAUGUAAAUCUCCUCCAAGUUUGUCAAAUUCCCCAUUUCAAUAGGAAUGGGACCAGAAAAUGAAUUGUUAUAGAUGUAAAGUCUAGCGAGGCUACUCAAGUUGCCCAAGGAAGAAGGAAGAUAUCCAUUCAAUUGGUUUGAGUACAAGGCAAGCUCGUUCAACAAACGCAACUGACCUAUUUCAUCAGGGAUAGAGCCAUUCAACUCGUUAGAGAGCAGGUGUAACACCUCAAGCUUCAUGAGAUUGCCAAUCUCCCGUGGUAUUUUCCCAGAUAAUUGAUUAAAGGAGAGGUCAAGGUAAGUGAGAUUGGUCAAAAGACCGACUUGAGGCGGAAUACCACCGAAGAGUUCGUUUAUGUACAUGUCUAUAUAGGUUAGAUAUGGCAAAGACGAGAAUGGGAACUCAUCGAGUGUACCUUUAAUGUUCGAAUUGGUGAGAUUGAUUCCAAUCACACUUCUGGCUGGGUUACACGAGAUGCCGUGCCAACCGCACGGGCUUGACACUGUUGCAUUGGAGCCGGUAGCAUUUUGAGGAGCAAGAGUCCAUGGAGAUAGAGAAGAGGUGGAUAGGUUUUGAUUUAGAAGGCUGGAUUUCCAUUUGAGAAGGGCUUGUGCUUCUAGUGUGGAGGCAUAAACAGGAAUUGCACCAUGUGGAAUGAUGACAAAAAGUGCCAUGAAAAGGGCAAAGGAGGCUGGAAGAUUCACUGUUGUCUCUAAUCCUGGUGAAUCCAUGAUUUCUUUUGUUUGUUCUGGAGGUUGACGAUCAACCAUGAGGCAUAUAUGUAAAGCUUGGUUACUCUGUUUCUGUCAUUCUCCAAGUCCAUUCACAGAAGGCCAAUUUUCAAAGAUCUCCGAUUUCCUGCUUGUUCAAUGGUGCUAAUUGUGAUGAUUCAGAUGUUGACAUUCGGGCCAAUGUGUGAUAACGAGAAGUAGUCUGAUCGAGGGUAGAGUUUCAUAUGGUUGGAACAAGGUAUUUGACUUUGACUCAAAGCUUCCUAAGCUCUGCUCUCUUUAAUUGAUGCUUUCUCUGGUUUUCCUCAACGUGGAGGUGCGUACGGCCAGAUACUGCUAUUUUAAAGAUGAUAAAUCGUUCAUAGCCAGUCAAUAUCGUCUUGCUCAGACUUUGUGGCUGCAGACGCGAAAUUGUCUGAGAGCAUUUACUCGAUAAAUAAAUAAUUGUUUUUUAAUACCAAGUGGAUCUGCUCUCGGAUGUUGUAUACGGCUAGUUCUUCCUUUCUGGAAGCACUGGAAGCACUUAUGACGGAAUUGCCUUCCAAGCAGUCGACUGGGAGAGGUUGAAGUCUACCAUGGAAUACAUGGGUUCUAAGUCUAAAAAACACCCUAAACUUUUAUUUCCAUAUAAACCCACAGUUUAAUCACUCCUUUACUGAAUCUCGCGGUUUAAAAUUUACAUUACUCCAAAUUCAUGGCCUAAUUCCUAAAAUUACUCCGAUUAAUGAACAACGAGUUCAAUUAUUUUUUGAACAUUGUAAGAUGAAGCUACUCCGACUUGGCGAGAUCCUUGCAGCGUGUAGACGCAAUUUUUUCUCUCCUCUCUUCCUUCCUGUUAUUGUCACUGUUUAUGUUUGUUUUUGCUUUUACGCUUCACAUGCAUCUAAUGAAAGGAGAAAAGAGUGCGGAUUACAUCGGCCAACGCAUGGUAAGGUAAUGUAGGCUGAGCUUUUACCAGUUAAUUCGCUUCUCUCAAAUUUUAUUGGAGGACAAGUCUAAAUUUAAAGGUGAUUGGAGAAUCUUCUUGAAGGUUUUGCUCUUAUAAAUGUCACAUCUAUACUUGUUCAACUUUUUUAUUUUGAAUGAAGAAAGUGUUGGGGAUAUCAAAUCUAGGCGUGCACCACCAAAUGGCAAAGCCAUAGUAAAGAUGGAGAUUUUUUGGUGAAAGGUAAUCAUAAUAAGCUAUAACCAAUAUUUACAACAAAAACGACACCAAAACAUACACUCAUAAUGAACAGAGGCAUAAUGAGUGGAAGGGUGCCAAAAGAAGAAGAAGAGGGAAGCUAACAAGGCACAAAAAUGUGGUUGAGCCGCACAACUAUGGCCACAUCCAAAAGAUGGACCAAACAAAAGAAGGCGACCGGUCAGCCAAACAAUGGCAACCCAAGCCAAAAACCAAACAAAACGUUAUCGCCCAAAUGGAAAGGACGAGACAACCGGCAGGAAUCAAGGUCAACACCGAAACAUCAGGAAUGCGAAGCACAAUAGUAGACCCUCCUGCACCACCACUCCAAUUUGGAAAUACUACGGAUGCGCUAGAGUAGAAGAGAAGAUGCAAGGGUCUAUCCCCUAGCUACGUUGAAGUCUCCUGUUUCUUGGGUUAUCUUCAACAUUCGAGAAGGUUAAAGCCUUAUCCUUAACCACUUUUAGUAAAGAUGGAGAUUUCAUUGUAUGUUUAUUACUAAAUAUGGAUUUGGUGAUUAGUUGCUGUUUUUAUAAUUACUUUUUGAGCGUGUUUUGAUGACAUAUUUUGUUAUUUAGAGCUUAUUUUGUUUUGAAGCUGUUUAUGAUUUGUCUUGAUUUGGAGUUGGAUUAAAUUAUUUUUCUCUUGUAUUUAUGUGGGUGGGAAUGAAUGAAAUGUUAUCUUGACCAAAAAGAAAAAAGGUGAGAAAGAAGAACGGGCAAUAGCAAACUUAGUCAUGGUCACCGUCCAGGUCUGUAUAUAUUAUUUGGGGAACAACCCCAUCCCUUCAUAAAAUAAAGGACGAAGCUUUUAAUUAAAAUAAACCAUUUUCAGAAAUGUGUUAGUUGGAUAAUACCUAACAAUAAUGAAAAUAACCAUGAGGCUUAAUUUAUCAUGAAUGUACCUAGCUGGAUUUCCUUCAGGGUCGGUCUAAUGAGCUUAAUAAAAAUAGCAAAAUAGAUCCUAAAUUGAAUCCAUCACUCUCCUCUAUUCUUAAAAUCUGAAACGGUAAUAAAAGGGGCGAGCAAACGGCUCGGGUAAGUGAUAAUCACCACUGCUGUGAAAUCAAGUAACGAACAAUGGAGUUGUACAAUAGCAUGCAUAUGCAGGAACUGCACCUCGUGAAAUGACUGCAAGCAUUGCGAGAAGGGCAACGGGAGCUAGAAGAUGUCCUCCUCCCUUUAAAAGCUUUUUGCCAAUCCUUGAUUUUCUGGUGUGGUUUUGGAGCAUAUAUAAAGCUGCUCUGUCUCUGCCAUUGUUCUCUGAUCCGUUCAGAAAAGGCCAGCUUUCAAAGAUCUUCCAUUUCAGGAUUUUGAACGCUUCUGAUCAUUAAGUUUCAGCUAUUGACAAACCGUCUAUUUCGUUUAUACAGAGCCUCAUGUUUGCUGAAGUAAGUGGUUGACUUGACUCCACCUCACUUAGUUCUUUUUUUUUUUUUUUUUCCAUUCUUAUGGGAAACAUCCAUUUGCUUGCUAAAAUACCGACCUUUGACAACUGGAAUACUUGCAUGACCAGGCAAUAAUUAGUGAGAAGAAUAUACGGAAGAAAAGUAUACGGGAGUGGUUACGUCUCCACUUGGACUUUUAGAACGGGAGUAGUUACGUCUCCACUUGGACUUUUAGAUUGUAGCACCAGUAAUUUGACCAAGAGCAUGGGUUUCCUUUGACUUCUUCAAGACUUGGGCACUCCUAGCAUUUAUGAUUUCAAUUUUUGCUUUUUGCUUAAUUUAAAUCUUGCAAUUCGGCCAUUUUAAUUGUUUUUUUUUUCAAUUCAAAAAUCCCGAAACUGAGAUAUGAAGCACGUUCAAGAAUUAAGAUUGAUUUGACCUGACUAUCGAAGAAGGUUGGGAGAAUAUAACUAUCUCGGUACACCUCAAUUCGGAUAAUUGUUACUUCAUUUUGCCCCCUAUACUAUUCAUUUACAGAGUUUUCCGAAACUUUGAUUUUACAAUGUCAAGUUUUACUUAGAUUGACUGAUGGUGGCAUCAAACAUUGGUCUACUAUAAUUUCUUGUUUCAAGUUCAGAAAACUCUGAGCUCUCAUCCAGAUGAAAUACAUGAGGGAAGCUGUUCCGACAUGUUUUGCAUAAGGUAAUAUAAGUUCACUAUUGUGAAAAACAGAGAAGAUGGUGGCGGUACAAUGUAAAUGAUUUUUACUUUUAUUGACAAUGGAGUGAGGCCGAGAGAAAAUAGAUAGCAUGAUUCAAUUCCCUCAAGAUUUUGGAGGGCAGGAUCUUUUGUCGAAAUUAAAUGGCCUUCCUUUUUUCUUUUUAUUUAUUAUUUCUCGUUAAGGGCUGAAAAAUGAAUGUCCUCUGCCUUAUCACAAUUGAAGUAUAAGGUAUUAGCAGAACAAAACUUGCAUUCUUUCCAAGACAAAGCAUUGUACUAUAAAAUCUCCUCUUGUGACAAAAUUAGGACCCGUGAUCUUCCUAAUUUAAGCACUUUUAAGUUCAAAGCUCUAACGAAAACAAAUUCUGUAUUCCCUCUAGUGCCAUAUUCUUUUUGGAGCAAUCAACAGCUACUGAAUUUCUUAUAAAGACUCAUGCCACAUCAACAUGCAUGUAACACUCGGAAUAGGAGCUGAUUGAACCAUCACAAAACCUCUUGCUAUUUAAUGAAACUAACUCUGUAAAUGGUCAAUACCCUAUUUUUUGCGCACAAAUAGAAUCUCGCAAUGGACGUAUCCCUAUUCCCUAACCUAUUUUUUUUUCCUUUUUCUUUGUAAAAAAUCAUCAAAAAACCUAAAUUAUACCAUUGUGACAUUUAUUCUGAAUUUUUUUAUCAUGAUAUAAAAAAAAUCCAAAUUAUGCUUGUUAUGACACAUUUAUCUAAAAAUUUUCUUAUGACAUGAAAAAAUCCAAGUCAACGACUAUUAGUUUACCGAAGAUUUAGAAAAUGUAUGUUGGAUGUAUUUUCGGUUCCAUCAAGCCUUUGGAGCUUUCUCCAUUCAGUCUGCUUUGGCGACUUUUUGACUUGGAACAGUCCCCAUAUUGGAAUUUGGUCCCAAUCAAUGUGCGAAAUUCAGAGAAAUUGAUAGAGAAGUCGUCGAGGAGAGAGAUCAAAUCCUAACUCGUUUCACACAUUAUGCAAUUUUAAGCAUGCAAAAGGGAAGUCUUCUCACUCGGCAUUAAUGAAGCCAAAUCUUGCCCCGGUUUUGACCCCAUUUUUGCAGAAACGACAGCUGAUAAUCGAGCUAAUGAGUCUGGACCAUGCCCACUUGCAAACUCACAUCAAUCGAAAGAAAAAUUGAAGAAGAGAAAUCAAAAUUGUCCUUGGCCUGCUUGUUCCAGCCUUUUCUGAUAAACGAUAAGGUGGCUGUGAAGGCUCACAUUUAUCAAUAUUUCUCGAUUAUCAAGUUCAUCAUCAUUGCCGGUCUCUUUGGGCCUACUUUAGAAAAGCCGAUCUCGAAAUGGCAGCCCAAGAGGCCUCUUGAAGAUUUCAAUAUCGGAGGAGGCAACUGAUGCUGAAUAAAUUCCAUUCGGCUUCUGCGAAGGCGAUGAAUGCCUGCCUGAGGAUGUGAAAUCGCAGAAUGCAGAGCAUGCAGUUUAAAGUUCGCUGAUGGGGAGGGUGCAACACUGAAUCACGCAGUUCGUAGUUUUGCAAAACUGCAGACACUUCUCGAUAUCUUUCCAUUUUCUUCUUUUCCUAAAUUGUUCAAAUUUUUCCGCUCCUGUGCAAGCUCGCUGGUGAGGCUGUUGUCAAGGAGAUGAUGCAGAGUGAAGGAGGAGGCAUGAACGAGACAAAAAGAAACACAAAAAGGAAAAAGAAAAAAAAAAGAAAAAGAAAAAAAGCAAAGUCCUUAGAGGAGAAUACUCCUAGUGCAAAUAAGAUUCGCUGACUNNNNNNNNNNNNNNNNNNNNNNNNNNNNNNNNNNNNNNNNNNNNNNNNNNNNNNNNNNNNNNNNNNNNNNNNNNNNNNNNNNNNNNNNNNNNNNNNNNNNAAAGGAAAUCUAUUACGAAAAUUAUUUUUCAACUUUCUGGUAUUUAUAUGACAAAAAACUAAUCGAAUUGUGGAUAAAGUUUUUCAUGGAUUGAACCUAACUAUUUGACUUGAAAAUACUUUUCAUAAAGAAUAUUUUUUUAUCAUUAAAUUUUCAGUACAAUAAAGGACCCUCGUUUCAAAUAAUUUACCUUUUUUGAGCUCUGUAAGUGGGCUCAAUUAUUGAGAAAGAGUGCGCUGUGAUUAUUUUGGAAUUUGAAGUGCUCGAUGGCUCCAAUAGAAAUAUUCCCGCAAGUUAGACGGGGCGAAUAAUUUUGGUGUUGGAUCAUGAAUAUGCAUAACUUGGAUCAUAUCGAAGUUUAAUGACCAUCGCUGGAUCUACAUAUAAGAACUAAUUAUCCUUUUAUUUAUUAGCUUCACGAUUCAUUUUCAUUUUAGUUUAUUGUAUUUAUUAUUAUUGUAAUAUAUCAGAUUAAUGAGUACCGUUGCCUUGCUUUGAUUAAAAAAUCUAAUGACCGUAGGAAAGUGAUGGACAUUUGUUUUUAAUUGGUUAUUUCUUUCCCUAUACUAUUUUCCAUGAGCACGGGAAAAAUUAUUGAAAAUCAAAACUUAAUUGGAUUGAGUAUGAGUUAAGUCCAGUGGAGUUUUGUAUAGGUUGCUAAACUUGUAUUAUGUGAAGAUGGAACUGUUUGAGUUAAAUGGUUCCAUUUAAAUUGAACCCAAUCUGACCAACAAUUUGACAAGUCUAUAUAAAGGUUGUACGAUCAUCAAUUUUACUGGAAAAGCACAAGAUAAAUUUAAGAGACUAUCAAUCCUAAAAGGGCAGAGAGAAGCAUAAUCAAUACUUAAUCACAAUAGACAUCGUGUUGGAUUCCGCAAGUAUCCGAUGCCAUUCAAGAUAAAUUAAAUUUGGCUAAAUAUGCUUUAUACUGCAUUCUAAAAUCUUUGUUUCUCUUACUGUGAAUUCUGAAUAGUUUAUAAUGUGCACCGGUCCUUUUUAAUAAAUGAACUCGAUUUACACGUUCAGUGUUAGGCAAUGAGUUCUUACUAUUAGUGGCCACCAGCAAUUUAUGACUAUGCAGAAAAUGCAAAAUUUUAAUUUAUUACUGAUAAGUGCUGUGAAAAUGUUUGGGCAUACCUAUAUGUAUAUAUUCCUAUCCAUUCAUUCAUGGUUUCUUUCUUUCCUUCCUUUUUUCUGUACAUUGAAGCCACUUUUUGCAACUUCUAGGAAACCAUGUUCGGGUUACAAAAUGAAGGAGAUAACUGGAAGUGGCAUCUUUUCGGAUAGUGGAGAAACUGAUCCGUCAGUCUGGCAAUAUUACUCCUAAAAACAGAACAGGAAUCCGAAUGUACCAGGUACUUCUGUUUUCUGUUUUCCUUUUUUUGGCCUGAGACAAAUGUACCAGGUCCUAAUUCCUGCAUACAUAAUCUUAUAUCUCCAUGGUGAUUCCUAAUUUACUUUGACUUCCUCUGUAAAACAUUACUAGCAAGCCCUUGCUGGAAUCAGUCACAUCUCCUUUGGUGAGGAAGAGAGCGUUUCUCCGAGAAAACCAACUACUGUGCCUGAGGUUGCAAAACAACGCGAUUUGAGUGGGACGCUGGAAAGUGAGUCAGACGGGAUGUUGAAAAAGCAGAUCUCUCAUGCCAAGUCCAAAGAACUAAGUGGGCAUGACAUAUUUGCACCUCCACCUGAAAUCUUGCCCAGGACGGUGGCUUCACACUCACACACAAUGCAUCAAGACACGGGAGAACCUGCACCACGUGAUUUGCGCACAUCUGCCAAAGUUUCUAAUGUAAGUGACUUUGUUGUGUUUGUCCCUACUCUUCCCUCUGUCUUAAGCAUGAGAAAAUAGUUAUGUGGCAACUGAUACAGCAUGUCGGUUGAAAGUAACCACCUCCCCUCUUCCUUAGUGGCUUUGAACCUGGGUAGUUCUAUAUUCAAUGAAGAAAUGCUAUUAUUGGUUGUCGCAUUGGGAUAGAAGUCAACCACAUGACGUUUGAUAAGUAUUGAAGUUUUUUCUCAUUAAGUAGGGCUAGUAAAAUGCAAUAUUUGAGAAGCUUCAAUGGAAUUGACCAAUGAUUAUCCAUGAUGCUUCUUGCAAGCAUAGCACUAUAUUGAUUCUUUCUCUAAAUCAUUCUUCUGAGGUAUUCUUGGAUCUAGAAUGACCUGACUUUAAUACUUUUAUAUGGAUCAGCCUGCUGGAGGACAGAGCAAUAUAAUGUCCACUGAGGAACCUGUGCUAAAGACGGCAAAGAAGAUCUAUGACAAGAAAUAUACUGAACUUUCAGGAAAUGACAUCUUCAAGGGCGACGUGCCCCCAUCAUCUGCAGAGAAACCACUAAGUGUGGCGAAAAUGCGGGAGAUAAGUGGCAACGACAUUUUUGCUGAUGGUAAGGUAGAAUCUCGGGACUACCUGGGCGGCGUGCGCAAACCGCCUGGUGGUGAGAGCAGCAUCUCAUUGGUUUGAUAAGAUACGGCCUGGACCAACUAUUUCACGUGAUAGUCUUGUGUCUGGAUUUUCUUCUGGUUCUCACUGUGAACAUAUUCUGGUAUUACUCUACUUUCAUUAAAUUCGUCGAGGGAUACGGCAAACUUCAUUCCAGUAUUUAACAUGAUUGGCUAGAGAUGUGACCGAUGUGCGAAUUGGUGUUACGUGUUCAUACUCGCGUUUGGUUUAGCGAUUGUCCUAAUUUUCUGCAAGUUCAUCUACUGCAAUGAAUGGUUGCGUUUGUCCGUUCCAUCUUCUUACUCCCUGUGUAGUGUUAAUCUUGAUUUCAAUACAUUUCAUUGGGAU
rnacentral:lncRNA from 1 species